rnacentral:rRNA from 1 species
GCUUCCUACCCAUAGUGAAGUUUUCCUUUGUAGCUGGGGUCCACAGGAAUUCAACAUGGAACGAGUGGCGGACGGGUGAGUAAACGUGUGGUACCUCCCCUCUUAAUGGGGGAUAACAUUGGAAACGGGUUUUAAUCCCGUUAGAUCCAAGACCCGGCUUGUUUCUUGGCUGAAAGGUGGAUAAAUCUAUCUCUUUUGGAUGGACCCGCGGUUUAUUAGCUAGUUGGUGAGGUAAUGCCUCACCAAGGCGAUGAUACGUAGCCGAACUGAGAGGUUGAUCGGCCACAUUGGGACUGAGACACGGCCCAAAUUCCUACGGGAGGCAGCAGUAGGGAAUCUUCCACAAUGGACGCAAGUCUGAUGGAGCAACGCCGCGUGAAUGAAGAAGGCUUUCGGGUCGUAAAAUUCUGUUGUUGGAGAAGAAUGGUCGGCAGAGUAACUGUUGUCGGCGUGACGGUAUCCAACCAGAAAGCCACGGCUAACUACGUGCCAGCAGCCGCGGUAAUACGUAGGUGGCAAGCGUUAUCCGGAUUUAUUGGGCGUAAAGCGAGCGCAGGCGGUUUUUUAAGUCUGAUGUGAAAGCCCUCGGCUUAACCGAGGAAGCGCAUCGGAAACUGGGAAACUUGAGUGCAGAAGAGGACAGUGGAACUCCAUGUGUAGCGGUGAAAUGCGUAGAUAUAUGGAAGAACACCAGUGGCGAAGGCGGCUGUCUGGUCUGUAACUGACGCUGAGGCUCGAAAGCAUGGGUAGCGAACAGGAUUAGAUACCCUGGUAGUCCAUGCCGUAAACGAUGAAUGCUAGGUGUUGGAGGGUUUCCGCCCUUCAGUGCCGCAGCUAACGCAUUAAGCAUUCCGCCUGGGGAGUACGACCGCAAGGUUGAAACUCAAAGGAAUUGACGGGGGCCCGCACAAGCGGUGGAGCAUGUGGUUUAAUUCGAAGCAACGCGAAGAACCUUACCAGGUCUUGACAUCUUUUGAUCACCUGAGAGAUCAGGUUUCCCCUUCGGGGGCAAAAUGACAGGUGGUGCAUGGUUGUCGUCAGCUCGUGUCGUGAGAUGUUGGGUUAAGUCCCGCAACGAGCGCAACCCUUAUGACUAGUUGCCAGCAUUUAGUUGGGCACUCUAGUAAGACUGCCGGUGACAAACCGGAGGAAGGUGGGGAUGACGUCAAAUCAUCAUGCCCCUUAUGACCUGGGCUACACACGUGCUACAAUGGAUGGUACAACGAGUUGCGAGACCGCGAGGUCAAGCUAAUCUCUUAAAGCCAUUCUCAGUUCGGACUGUAGGCUGCAACUCGCCUACACGAAGUCGGAAUCGCUAGUAAUCGCGGAUCAGCACGCCGCGGUGAAUACGUUCCCGGGCCUUGUACACACCGCCCGUCACACCAUGAGAGUUUGUAACACCCGAAGCCGGUGGCGUAACCCUUUUAGGGAGCGAGCCGUCUAAGGUGGGACAAAUGAUUAGGGUGAAGUCGUAACAAG